rnacentral:rRNA from 1 species
GAGCGUUACUCGGAAUUACUGGGCGUAAAGCGUGCGCAGGCGGUGAUGUUAGACAGAUGUGAAAUCCCCGGGCUCAACCUGGGAACUGCAUUUGUGACUGCAUCGCUGGAGUGCGGCAGAGGGGGAUGGAAUUCCGCGUGUAGCAGUGAAAUGCGUAGAUGUGCGGAGGAACACCGAUGGCGAAGGCAAUCCCCUGGGCCUGCACUGACGCUCAUGCACGAAAGCGUGGGGAGCAAACAGG